UGGCUGUUCUCCAUAGCAUAUGUCAGAAGGAAGCAGUACCCUUAGCUUCCCUUUUGACUGCUGGUUUUCCUCUGGGGUACAGCUGUAAUGAACAGUACUUUAUCUAGCAAGGAUUGUGGGAAGGACCACCUGGAGGCACUGCCUCUUGUAGCAGCAAAUGCACAGAAGACAGAGUGGGGAGGAGUGCUCGCUGUACUCUUGGGAUGCCACCAGCCCUGUGGAAUCUCAGCACUGAAAACUCCUCGCUGGGUGCUGUGCUAUAAUGGACACACACUGGGACUUAGGAAACCAGGAUUUAUAGGAGCAGUGUCUACCCAACUCUUCUCCACCUCACAAUACUUACUUGGCAUCAACUGAUUUCUGCAGUGCUCCUUGGAAUCGUGAUAGUACUCAUCAUGUGGGAAAUACUGUAAAUGCUUCUUCCCAGCACGCCUUUGACUCUUCAGCUGUGUCACACGACAGUAGAAGUCCCAAUCCAUUUUGGGGCCUGGAUUUACUCACAGCAUUAUCGUUAGUUAAUAAAUGU